rnacentral:rRNA from 1 species
GACGAACGCUGGCGGCGUGCUUAACACAUGCAAGUCGAACGGAAAGGCCCUGCUUUUGUGGGGUGCGCGAGUGGCGAACGGGGGAGGAACACGUGAGUAACCUGCCCUUGACUUUGGGAUAACUUCAGGAAACUUGGGCUAAUACCGGAUAGGAGCUCCUGCCGCAGGGUGGGGGUGGGAAAGUUUCGGCGGUUGGGGAUGGACUCGCGGCUUAUCAGAUUGUUGGUGGGGUAGUGGCUUACCAAGGCUUUGACGGGUAGCCGGGCUGGGAGGGUGACCGGCCACAUUGGGCCUGAGAUACGACACAGACUCGUACGGGAGGCAGCGGUGGGGAAUAUUGCACAAUGGGCGGAAGCCUGAUGCAGCAACGCCGCGUGCGGGAUGACGGCCUGCGGGUUGUAUACCGAUGUCGCCUGUGACGAGGCGUGAGUGACGGUAAUGGGUAAAGAAGCACCGGCUAACUACGUG